UUACGAGCUGCCCAAAACACGGCAUUAGCAAGGGGAGUCUCCUUCUGCAGGACAAACGCACAUGAUACAACAUCGACUAGACAUUGGUGUCAGAAAACAGACCUGUAAUCAGAAUAAAAGGUGAUGGGGAUUCAUACAGGCCCGUGGGGAGCACACCCUUCAUCACAGGCAAUGAAAGAGGUGGUGAUGACCGGUUACGGUCAGAGUGUGGAAUUAGUCUCAGAACAUGAACACAAGACAGCCCAACUUUCCAGCAGUUCAAUGGGCCAGCCUCAUGGGGAGAGCUGUGCUGCUCUCUAUACUGCUGUCUGAUCCUCUCCACGUGGUGUCAGACUCGGAUGAGGAGGUGCAGGGGCCAUCAGAGUGGCAAACAUGGAAGAGGAGCAACGGUGUGUCGUACGACAAGAAGGGUGACUGUGGCUCCUGCUGGGCGUUUAGCACUACGGGGGCCAUUGAAGGACAAAUGUUCAAGAGGACAGGUCAGCUGGUGUCCUUGAGUGAGCAAAACCUGGUGGACUGCUCCAAGCGCUAUGGCACCAAUGGCUGCAGUGGAACCUGCAUGGCUAAUGCCUAUGAUUAUGUGCUUCAGAAUGGGCUUCAGUCCACAGACACCUACCCCUACACAUCAGUGGAUUCCCAAUUCCCAGCCCUGUUUCUAUGAAAGCAGUCAGUCAGUUGCCAGGAUUACUGAUUAGAGGUUCAUACCCACUGGAGAUGAGCAGGCCCUGACGGAUGCUGUGGCAACCAUUGGCCCAAUCACCAUCGCUGUGGAUGCAGAUCACCCAAGCUUCAUGUUCUACAGUUCAGGAAUAUAUGAGGAGCCAAGCUGUAACCCCAACAACCUCAGUCAUGCAGUGCUGCUGGUUGGCUAUGGCUCUGAAGAGGGACAAGACUAUUGGAUCAUCAAAACAGUUGGAGUACUGGAUAGGGAGAGGGUGGCUACAUGCGAAUGAUCCGGAAUGGCAGUAACACUUGUGGUAUCGCAAGCUAUGCGCUCUACCCUAUUUUAAGAACCAUAUAGUUGAUAAAGUAUCAGAGACAGAACACAUCAUCUUGGUAGAUAGGUGUUCAGAGGUUAAUAAAAAGUAUUGAUUUGGUUUAUUUGUGGGGGUGAUGGUGCCAGGUAUUCUGUCUUUUAUACUGUACCACUCUGAGUAAUGCUAUGGCUGUAUUGCAUUGUGAUGGAGAAUAA